rnacentral:lncRNA from 7 species
GAAACAACUUUUUGCAAGGGAAUUUAUACAAUUUCUUCAGCUAAGGAGGUAAACCUGUCUCUCCUGAAAGGAGCAUUAAUAAGAUCCAUUGAUAACAGGUGUGCUGCUCUUUUUGUUUGGAGACAGGAGGAGCAUUGAUCUGGCAUAUGAGUAACAGGCCAAAACGGAGGGUGGAGGGUAUAUUUUGUUGUGGACAAGACUUUCUGGAGAAUACAGGCAAGUCAGAAGCUGUGGAAGAAAUGGAAAGAGAGAAUUGGAGCCAGAAAGUCUCAAAGAGGACAUUUUUUGCUGAUUUUUUUUGGAUGACUGCAUCAGUUUUGAGCACCUCGGAAAAAGCAAUUUGUUUUUCACUCCUGGCAUAUCGUGUUUGUUCAAAUAGAGCCAUUAAAAGUGUGGGCAUAAUAGUUCGUGAGGCAGCUUGUGACCCAUACCACUUUCUCUUGCCUUCUUCACCCUAGUUAAACUUUAAAAGCUUCCCACAUUAUUCUCAAGUGCUUCUUGCAGGGCAACAGUUUGUUUUCAUUGAACUUGGAAUGGAAAACGUGGACAAGUUCUGCAAACUCUUUUGAGAACAGAGAAAUGGGAAAAUGAAGAACAAUAUUUCUCUCUGUAUCAAGAACAGCUGUCACACUAUGCCAAGCACACUAAUGAAAAAAUUAGUAAUAAACAGUUAGCGGUGUAUCUUCAAGAGAAGUGUAACCAACUUACGUGUAGAAAAUAAAGAACUAC